ensembl:lncRNA LINC00689 long intergenic non-protein coding RNA 689
GGCCUCCCUGCCUAGGUUACAUGCAGUGGUCAUCCCGGUCGCUCCCACACCCGUGUGGGCUCUGGGAUCCCCUCUUCCAGCCAGCCCAGGGGACAUCUGGCUGUCUCAGGACCCAGCCAUCUGUAAAAAUUAGGCAGGUCCCUUCAGUAUGCUCCUGGUCAACAAAGAAAAACUUCAAUUUUGAGAAUGGCAUCUGUAUUCCGAAGUGUUCUCUCAGAUGUUUGAGUUCCACUAAGUAGGGGAAGAAGAUGCUGCAUACAGGAUGGAAUAUCCAGGGGAAGACGUCUAAGGAGAGAUGCCCAGCUGGGAGUCCUAUGCAAGGGGAAGAAGAUGCUGCAUACAGGAUGGGAUAUCCAGGGGAAGAUUUCUAAGAAGAGAUGCCCAGCUGGGAGUCCUAUGCAAGGGGAAGAAGAUGCUGCAUACAGGAUGGGAUAUCCAGGGGAAGAUUUCUAAGGAGAGACACCCGGCUGGAAGUCAAGAUAUGUCAGUUGUUUCCAUUAUAAUAAAACCACUCAUGUUAGAUGAGCUGAACUUUCCCUUUUCCCCAGUUCUUACGAUCAAAAAGUGGCUGUCCUAAAUUUCAUCACUCAAUAUCCUUGCUAGAGUCUUCCUUUGUCAGCCAGGCUGGAGUGCAAUGUGCAAUGGCACAAUCUUGGCUCACUGCAACCUCUGUCUCCUGGGCUCAAGCAAUUCUUCUGCCUCAGCCUCCUGAGUAGCUGGGAUUACAGUUCCAGGUACUGAAUAGAAGCUUUACAAAAGAUCCCGGUACCGGUAAUAGCCCUGGGGCGCCCACUUCACGGGGCCUGCAGGAAGUCCUGGGAAGGGACUGUUUCCACAAGUGGAACAAGUGGGCCCCCCACUGCCCUCGCUGCCUGCCCCUCUCUCCUCAUUAAACCUUCAGAGAACACAAAGGAGCCGAGAGCCCCUUUUCUCUCCAUCUUCCAAAGAAGACUUUUCAGUAUAAAAGGUGCCCUAAAUCCUUUGUGAUGCCGCCCACAAGCAGCGUGCGCUGACACAAAGCAACGCCGCCGGCCACUGCUGCCUGCAGACAAGAGGCCGACUCUUGUCCUCGUCUCGGGUCCCAAGAACGGGAGUAAGUUUGUGGACUGGCACGCAGACUUGUGUGCGGGGCAGCCCCUGGAGACACAGGCAGCUGCGAUGUGAGUGUGUCAGGCAGAGGUUCAGCUUUACGUCAGUGUUAAAGAAAAAAACCUGUGAAGAAACUAUUCAAGACAUGCAAAAGGAAGUGUUUCCCACGCACCCAGGGCAGGAUGCUCGGUGAGGGGUGGUGGAGCCGUAGAGCAAACAUCCUUCGAGAGCCAAAUGUGCGUGACCUUUGACCUUUCCCCUUCAGGAGUGUACAGUGAGGGAAUACUCGGGUAAGCACAGAAACACCUGCAAAAACAACUCACACAUUCGCCAGCAGGGAGUCGGUCAAACCAACCAGGCCCAGGCUGUGGAAUGUUAGGCGGCGGUUAAAAGUCACGAGAUACGCACCUUCAGAUGGGAAAGAUGGACACCACCUGUCUCAGCGGGAGAAAGACAGCUGCAGAAGCUUCACACAAUUUAGCCCGAUUCCCACGAAUAAACAGAAGAAAGGGCAGACAAGUUUGUACCGACGGAGGAAGGCACUGGGACCCCGCUUCAGUCGGGCACGAGUUUCCCCCAGAGAGGGGAGGAGGCAGGCAGAGGACUUCACUUUCUAUGUAAUCUUUGCCUACAGAGUUUGACGUUUUGUAACUGUCCUGUAUAAUUUGUCAUCUGAAAGCCUGAAAAAAAUAGCCAAUUAAAAAGCUGCCAUUGGUGAUGAGAAAGAACGAAGCUAUUGCCACGGGUGGAGGAGGGGCUUCUGCAGAUCGGCCCCCGGCCCUGCACCUUCUGCCUCCCAUCAGGGCUGAGUCUCCUCAGGCGGCUGAAUAUUUCCCACCUCAGGCAAAUGGACACUAAGCUCCUGAGUCAGACAAAACAGUGACUCCCUGGAGGGCUGUGUGCCCAGCCCCUUCUCCCCCUUCCCACCUGCUUUGCUCUUAGGAAAGUCACCAAAGGCUGGUUGGUGUGGCUCAUUCUAGGUUUGACUCCUUAGGAAUGUGGCUUUUACCAGCGUGCUGUAUCCCUCCUGACAACACAGCCAUCUGGUGGAGCGUGGAGUUCAUUGGAAAUGCAUUUUAUUUGCUUGUAGCAUACAUGUGGCUAAGGCUCAGCACACACGGAGAUUCGCAUAUGUGUGCACACGCCCCACGCACACACCCACACACGCAUGUGCAUCACAUGAACGCGCGUGCACACACACACUCCUGCACUCAGUCCUGCUCUAUUAACAGGUUCUUGGGCUCUGCAGAGCUGACAGAGGCCGUGUUGGGUGCGGCAGGACAAGGCUGGGCGUGCAGGCGCCUCCUCCACAGGGCACUGCUCAUGCGUCACAGCUGCCAGACGGAGGCUCCCCAAUGGCGACGCUCUGACAGGGGUCCGUGACUCUCCUCAGGGAGAGGUGGCUGUUUCCAAUGUCCUCCCUGGUGCCCUGUGGCUGGCAGGACCCUGCCCACCCUCUCCCUCCCCGUCCAAGCUCUGUUUUCAUCUGAAUGCAGCAGCCACGACUAACACGCCAAGUGUGUCCUCCAUGCUCCAGAGCCUCAGAUCUGGUCAGAGCAAGUUCUUACUCAGCAUGCAGAUGUGAAGUCAGGCUUUAUUGAAGUAUUUACACAGCUCAUUCCCGCCACGUGGAGGAGUCUGCGACAUUCCACACACAAUGACAGUUAAAGACACCUGCUGACCACUGGGUCCUGCUUCCCCUGCUCACCAGGCAUCUGUCAGGAAACAGCCGGCCCCUCUACCAGGAGAAACCAGUCAGCUCCGCUGAACAGUGGCACAUGUGCGGUUGAGGGGAGAUUGUCCCCUGAGCACACCUGAUGACUGAUGACUGCCCACACCCAACCACCGACCAUCAACAACCAGUGCCUGGUAACCACCUGACACGUCCACUCACGCCCACUUCCUCAGCGUCCCCUCUGGGUCACAGCUCAGUGUCGGCACCUGGCCACUGACCCAACACCUUCAGUUACCACAAAUCUUUGUUUCCUCAAAAACCUGAGAGUAGGUGGGGGAUGCUCCCUUUUGUCCUUUGAAAGCUGGGCAAGGCUGGGGGUGGGUCUGUCCAAACCCUACAGGGGAGGAACAGCCGAGGGGCCGCACUGAACCUGGGGUCUGCAGCGUCCACCUGCCUCCCUCUCGCUCCACAUGCUCAGCCGUCCUUUCCUGGGCACCUGGCCUGGGCCGUUUACUCCCCAGUAUCCGUCUGUGAUGGAUCCUCUGCGGCCCCCAGAAAUGGUGGGUUGUUCUGUAGAUCCGACCGCCUCACCUGUCUCCCCAAACCAACCUCGGGUUCAUUCUCCCAGAAGUCCAGGGAUGAGCUUGUUGCAGCAGAGGGGUGUGGCCGGCGUGGCCCAGGGUGUGCAGGACAGGGUGCGGACCUUUGGGGAUUGAGGGGUCUCUGGACACUGCUGCUUUGCUGUCCUAACAGCCCCUCUGUCCGGCCUCAUUUUACCGGGGAUAUGGGUUUUGCAAACCAAGGUGACACUGACAGGAUGUGUGAGCUUCCCUGUGGCUGCCUCCCGGCACAGCUGUCCCGACCUUUGACAUCGCGCCCCAGCUGGGGUCUGUGAUGCCACCAAUGCACAGGAACAAGACAUUCAUUUUUAAGGGAAAAGUGGAGUCAAAUGUGCUCAGAACAACUGAGUCCCACAGUCGGGGCACCUGGGCCAGGGCUGGGCAGCUUGCUGAGGUCCAUCGAGCGCUGUGGGGGCCAGGGCUUGGCACACACAUGGAGACUGUGCCCUGAUAUCCCCACCCUUCUGCAGCUGGCUCAGCAACGUCCCCAGACACCCUCCCCACAUCUGCAAACCACCCUUCGCCUGAAGGAGCAGCCGCUAGGGCUGCUGAGCGCCAGCUCUGGGGAGGAGGGCUUGAAACAGUUUUAUAUGUUGUUAAAAUAAUUCUUAUCCUAAGAUUAUUUUUGUUAAAAAGAGAAUAGGUUUCCGGUUCCCACUCAGCUGUAUCCCGCACCCCACGUAACCCCAUCACCAGGGGCCCGCAGGCCUGGCCGCAGCUGGCCUGGGGCUGAGCGUCAGGCUCUGCGGCUCCCACAGGGCGGCAGGUGACCUCCUGAGGCAGAGCCAGAGCUGCUGAGGGUCCCACGGAACACCUGUGUGGAGAGGUCCCCUCCUUCAUGACCUUGCUCUCCUGAUCUGGUUGUCUCCUCAGCCCGCCUUCCGUGGGGAGGCAAAACAGCCCUGUGGAGUUGGGUGGGGCAGGGCUCAGCCGGGCCGGGUGGGCGCCCCAAGAGAGAGGACGGGCUGCCCUCCUGUUGAUUUCUCCUGGUCCUAACGUCAGGGGGGCCCUGACUGGCUUCCCUCUGUCCUGCAGAUGAGGGGGCUACCCUUAUGGGACCUGGGAGGCCGCCCUGAUGUGGGACGGAUGUCACCCGGUGGUCGCCCAGGCUCGUGCUGGGCCACACAACUGCGUUUCCACAUUUCCUCCUUGGCUCCCCUAUUCUCUUGGGCCGGGCGCAGUGGCUCACGCCUUAAUCCCAGCACUUUGGGAGGCCGAGGCGGGCCCAUCACGAGGUCAGGAGAUCGAGACCAUCCUGGCUAACAUGGUGAAACCCUGUCUCUACUAAAAAUACAAAAAA